AGAGGUCUCCCAUGAUGCGUUCACUUUGUUUUUUGAUGAAUCAUACAUGGUUGACCUUUUU
rnacentral:pre_miRNA from 1 species